GGGGAUGACAUGAUCUUCCUGCGCACGUGCGAGGGGGCAUUGAAGUGACGUUUGCGGUUUUUGCUGCGGUCCGAGGUCACGAAAGGAUUGAACUUCAUGGUGACCCUCUAUAAAGAGCAGAGAGAGACGGAAUGAAGCAUCAGGGUCUCGUGUCACUCAUACUGAAGUGAAGUGGUGCAAUCAUAGCUCACUGCCGCCUUGAAUUCCUGGGCUCAAGCAAUCCUCGCUCCUUAGCUUCCUGAGUACUGGGACUACAGGCCCGCACCACUGUGCUCGGCUGUUCAUCUACUUAACUCCUGGCCUCAAGAGAUCCUCCCCACCUCGGCCUCCCAAAGUGUUGGGAUUACAGGGGCACAAUGACAUCCUAGAUGACAAGAGCUGGAGGCACUCUGUAGUGGGACUGGCUGUCUUGUCUUACGCCCAGCCCUGGAAACAUGCGCAGGAACUGGUAUAGAAGCUCAAGCACCUACACAGAGGAAGUGUCUGGUUGUUUUAAAAGAAAAAUAACACCAGACAAGGCACUUCCUGCUCUGACCACUCUUAUUUCCAGUUUUCCCUUUUGGCACAGCAAAGAUGACCUUGGGACUGAGAUGGAACCAUGUUAAACUUCAUAAGCCCAGAGUCAGGCAGACCUGGGUUUGAAUUCCAUCUUUACUAAUUGCGUGACUCACUGUGUGGCCAUGACAAGUUACCAGGUCUCUCUGUUUCCUCCUUCCUAAAAGGGAGAUAACAUCCAUCUCGAAAAAAGAUCAGGCCCGAAGAGCAGUCACUCUUGCCUGGCACGCAGAGAAUGCCAAAUCCUAUCAAUGACUGGCCAGAAUGAAGCGCAUGACCUCAUCCCUACAUAACUGACAGGAAACAGCUGCUGGGGCAAGAAAAAAGCAUCUUCAGUAAGUGUCUUUGUCCACAAACAUCCUCACUCAUGUUCCUGGACUACUGCAUCUAUCUGCUGCAGCAGCUAAUGAACCUUCUGGAACUAAGUAUCCAUUUCUUAAGAAGGGAUUGAGACCUCCAGUGGCCUGCUGAAUUGUUUCUGGCAAGAAUUUAAAAAUUAUUUGUAACAUAUAGUAAUAAAAACUAACCACAAAAUGGGCACAGUGGCUCACACCUGUAAUCCCAACACUUUGGGAGGCUGAGGUGGGCGGAUUGCCUGAGGUCAGGAGUUCAAGACCAGCCUGACCAAUAUGGUGAAAGCUCGUCUCUCUUAAAAAUACAAAAAUUAGCCAGGCAUGGUGGUGGGCCCCUGUAAUCCCAGCUAUUCAGGAGGCUGAGACAGGAGAAUGGCUUGAACUCGGGAGGUGGAGGUUGCAGUAAACUGAGACUGGGCCACUGCACCGCACUCCAGCCCGGGCAACAGAGUAAGACUCCAUCUCAAAAAAAAAAGAAAAAGAAAAAAACCAACCACAGCUACUAUUAAUAAGCCCUAGUGCUACACCCUAUUUCUUCCCAGGUUUCACUCCCUCUCUAAUCCCUGCCCACCCCAGCCAGUGUUGACUGCAAUACUUCAGCUUCUCCCCUCAUGAAGCAUGUCUCCAGCGACACAUCUUCUGCAAUACCUUCCCAGGGAAGCCAUUUCUGCCUGGACCACCACAGCUCCCAACCUAUCACACACCUCUGUAGGGUUUUGCUCUAUAAUCCUGACUUAGAAAUCCUCUUACAUUGAAACCACUGCAAUCCACAUCUGAUUAGAAAAUUGGAAAAGUUCGUUGAAAGGAGAAAUAAAAAUGGCAUCCAUCCCUUGAAUGUAUGUCAACGUAAAACACAUUGGACAAUGACCCUGGGCUAAGGCUUUACCACUGAGAAACCUGUAUCCGUGUUCACCUUCAUUUUCUUCACAUAAACCAGCCAAAAA